GGGGAACUAGCUCACAUGGUAGAGCGCUCGCUUAGCAUGCGAGAGGUACCGGGAUCGAUGCCCGGGUUCUCCA
rnacentral:tRNA from 2 species